GCGGAUGUAGCUCAGCUGGUAGAGCAUCACCUUGCCAAGGUGAGGGUCGCGGGUUCAAAUCUCGUCAUCCGCU
rnacentral:tRNA from 2 species